UGGGGAAUCUUGCACAAUGGGGGAAACCCUGAUGCAGCGACGCCGCGUGAGCGAUGAAGGUUUUCGAAUCGUAAAGCUCUGUCCUAUGGGAAGAUAAUGACGGUACCAUAGGAGGAAGCCCCGGCUAACUACGUGCCAGCAGCCGCGGUAAUACGUAGGGGGCGAGCGUUGUCCGGAAUUACUGGGCGUAAAGGGUUCGCAGGCGGCAUGACAAGUCCGAUGUAAAAGGCGAAAGCUCAACUUUCGUAAGCAUCGGAAACUGUCAAGCUUGAGUGAAGGAGAGGCAAGUGGAAUUCCUAGUGUAGCGGAGGAAUGCGUAGAUAUUAGGAGGAAUACCGGUGGCGAAGGCGACUUGCUGGACUUCAACUGACGCUGAGGAACGAAAGCGUGGGUAGCAAACAGG
rnacentral:rRNA from 1 species